AUAAGUUCCUCAUUCACUCACCUCACCACGGCGUGGAGAGAAAGAUGAAGUAAAGCUUUUACUCUUCAGGAACUUCAUAUCAAGUCCUUCACCUCUAUCACUUCUGGAGGAGAACAUGACUGGAUCCUGGAGACUAUUUCUGCUCUGUAGUCUCCUGCAAGGUGCUGGGUGCAA